ACCAACAGGGAUUGCCUUAGUAACGGCGAGUGAAGUGGCAAUAGCUCAAAUUUGAAAUCAAACAAGUUUGUUUGAGUUGUAAUUUGGAGAGGAUGUCUUUGGUUUUGCUUAGAAUCUAAGUCUCCUGGAAUGGAGCAUCAUGGAGGGUGAUAAUCCCGUUUGUGGUUUUAAGUUUUUAAGCCUUAUAAGACUCCUUCAAUGAGUCGAGUUGUUUGGGAAUGCAGCUCUAAAUGGGAGGUAAAUUUCUUCUAAAGCUAAAUAUCAGCUAGAGACCGAUAGUGAACAAGUAGAGUGAUCGAAAGAUGAAAAGUACUUUGGAAAGAAAGUUAAACAGUAUGUGAAAUUGUUGGAAGGGAAGCAUUUGCAAUCAGAUUUGUGUUGUUAAAAAUCACCUACACAUACUAUUGUGCUUAGAGCAUUUUUUUUCAACACUUGUCAACAUCAAUUUGGGUAGUGAUAGAAUGGGCCGAUCAAAAUGUAGCUCUGUUAAGAGUGUUAUAGUUGAUUGUUCUUGUCACUCACUUGGAUUGAGGCACGCGCAUAUUUAUUUAUGCAUGGAUGUUGACUUAAUGGUUGUAAGUGGCCCGUCUUGAAACACGGACCACGGAGUCUAACGUUUACGCGAGUGUUUGGGUGUUAAGCUCAAGUGCGUAAUGAAAGUAAAUGUAGGUGGGAAAUUUUUUUUUUUUUUC
rnacentral:rRNA from 1 species